UGGCCUGUAGCUCAAUGGUAGAGUACGCGCCUCUUAAGCGUGGGGUUGUGGGCUCGCGUCCCACCGGGCCAACGA
rnacentral:tRNA from 1 species